rnacentral:rRNA from 1 species
UGGGGAAUAUUGCACAAUGGGCGCAAGCCUGAUGCAGCCAUGCCGCGUGUAUGAAGAAGGCCUUCGGGUUGUAAAGUACUUUCAGCGGGGAGGAAGGGAGUAAAGUUAAUACCUUUGCUCAUUGACGUUACCCGCAGAAGAAGCACCGGCUAACUCCGUGCCAGCAGCCGCGGUAAUACGGAGGGUGCAAGCGUUAAUCGGAAUUACUGGGCGUAAAGCGCACGCAGGCGGUUUGUUAAGUCAGAUGUGAAAUCCCCGGGCUCAACCUGGGAACUGCAUCUGAUACUGGCAAGCUUGAGUCUCGUAGAGGGGGGUAGAAUUCCAGGUGUAGCGGUGAAAUGCGUAGAGAUCUGGAGGAAUACCGGUGGCGAAGGCGGCCCCCUGGACCAAGACUGACGCUCAGGUGCGAAAGCGUGGGGAGCAAACAGG